UACGGAGGAUCCGAGCGUUAUCCGGAUUUGUUGGGUUUAAAGGGAGCGUAGGCGGGUUGUUAAGUCAGUUGUGAAAGUUUGCGGCUCAACCGUAAAAUUGCAGUUGAUACUGGCAUCCUUGAGUACAGUAGAGGUAGGCGGAAUUCGUGGUGUAGCGGUGAAAUGCUUAGAUAUCACGAAGAACUCCGAUUGCGAAGGCAGCCUGCUGGACUGUAACUGACGCUGAUGCUCGAAAGUGUGGGUAUCAAACAGG
rnacentral:rRNA from 1 species